CAACCUGGAGUCACAUGAGGCACUUAAUUAUAUCAACAAGGAUGCUUCCACCCAGAACAAUAUACAGAGCCUGCGGGAAGGGCACAAGUGAAAAGAUUUCUGCAACCUGGCCAUGGAAUCUUAAUUAGAAGCCUGGGCCAAGAACCACUUAGCUAAGCAUUGCCUCUCAAACUUCAAUGUGCAUAUAAAUCAUUUGGUAACCCUGGCCCCACACUAUGUAAUGUGAUUCUGCAGGUUUUAAAAGCAUCCAUGAAAGUGCAUUUUAAACACAUCUCCUGUCAAUGCUGAUGUAGCUUCCCCAGACC
rnacentral:lncRNA from 1 species